rnacentral:rRNA from 1 species
GACGAACGCUGGCGGCGUGCUUAACACAUGCAAGUCGAACGGAAAGGCCCUGCUUUUGUGGGGUGCUCGAGUGGCGAACGGGUGAGUAACACGUGAGUAACCUGCCCUUGACUUUGGGAUAACUUCAGGAAACUGGGGCUAAUACCGGAUAGGAGCUCCUGCUGCAUGGUGGGGGUUGGAAAGUUUCGGCGGUUGGGGAUGGACUCGCGGCUUAUCAGCUUGUUGGUGGGGCAGUGGCUUACCAAGGCUUUGACGGGUAGCCGGCCUGAGAGGGUGACCGGCCACAUUGGGACUGAGAUACGGCCCAGACUCCUACGGGAGGCAGCAGUGGGGAAUAUUGCACAAUGGGCGGAAGCCUGAUGCAGCAACGCCGCGUGCGGGAUGACGGCCUUCGGGUUGUAAACCGCUUUCGCCUGCGACGAAGCGUGAGUGACGGUAAUGGGUAAAGAAGCACCGGCUAACUACGUG